rnacentral:rRNA from 1 species
GAUGAACGCUGGCGGCGUGCCUAAUACAUGCAAGUCGAGCGAACAGACGAGGAGCUUGCUCCUCUGACGUUAGCGGCGGACGGGUGAGUAACACGUGGAUAACCUACCUAUAAGACUGGGAUAACUUCGGGAAACCGGAGCUAAUACCGGAUAAUAUAUUGAACCGCAUGGUUCAAUAGUGAAAGACGGUUUUGCUGUCACUUAUAGAUGGAUCCGUGCCGCAUUAGCUAGUUGGUAAGGUAACGGCUUACCAAGGCGACGAUGCGUAGCCGACCUGAGAGGGUGAUCGGCCACACUGGAACUGAGACACGGUCCAGACUCCUACGGGAGGCAGCAGUAGGGAAUCUUCCGCAAUGGGCGAAAGCCUGACGGAGCAACGCCGCGUGAGUGAUGGAGGUCUUCGGAUCGUAAAACUCUGUUAUUAGGGAAGAACAAAUGUGUAAGUAACUAUGCACGUCUUGACGGUACCUAAUCAGAAAGCCACGGCUAACUACGUG